UUAGGUUCUAGGUCGCUGAUACACUUCUAGUUACUGACUUUCGGACCAAAUGAUAUUCUCACAACAAAACAGAAUACGAUAAACUAUCUCAAGAACAGGAGCCCUUAAUGUCGUUUGGAUGUUGCCUCGAAUUCUGAGCUUGUUCGUCUUUCAGUGGCUCACAACUAUUCUGAAAUUGGAGACUUGCUGGGGUUGAAUGAUAGUUCAUCUGAAACAUCCUUGAUAGAAGAAAGAAACGCUCAUGUCCUAGCCAUAAUCCCUACCGAAAUUGUGAGGUGUGGUAGAUAAUAUGUACAACUGUUUUGUGCAUACACAUGGAUUACGGCUUUGCUAAUCAUCAUCGGGUCAAGGAGGGUUUAGGAGGUAGAGUUCGUCUUAUUUUGUCUGGAGCAACACCUUUAUCUGCACAAGUGCGGAAGGUUACUUAUGGGUGGUGACUUCUUGUUAUGUUUACAAGGAUAUGGCCUGACUGAAACAUGUGCGAGAACCUUUGUCUUAUUACCAAAUGAAAUGGAAAUGCCUGGAACAAUGGGCCCUCCAGUACCAAAUGUUGAUGUGUGCCUGGAAUCUGUUCCUGAAACGGGAUGUGAUGCCCUAGCAAGCACACCAAGGAGAGAAAUUUGUGUAGAGGGGUAAAACCUUUUUUUCAGGGUACUACAAACUUGAAGAUCUCACCUAAGAGAAAUGUUACCUUCGACAGGGGAUAUUGGAAAGCACAACCUAAUGGAGGCAUGGAAAUUAUUGAUAGGAAAAAGAACAUAUUUAAACUUUCACAGGGAGAAUAUGUUGCUGCCUACAACCUGGAGAACAUUUAUGAUCAAGUUUCAUGUAUUGAAUCUAUAUGGGUUUAUGAUAACAUUUUUGAGGCCUUCCUUGCUGUUGUUAAUCCCAGAAAGGAAGUACCUAAAUAAUGGGCACAAGAAAAUGCUAUAUCCAAGGACUUCAAUUCUCUUUGUGAAGAUGCUAGAGCAAAAAGUUACAUACUUGAGCUCUCAAAGAUUGCAAAGGAAAAGGAGUUGAAUGACAGUACAUCUAAAUCCUUGAUAGAAGAAAGAAACGCUCAUACCCUAGCCAUAGUCCCUACCGAAAUUGAUUCACGAGCUGAUGCGGCAAGAAAUUGUGAUCCAACCGGAUGGGGGCUUGCUCUGUGUGCGGUUCCGUUGCAGCAUUGGAGUUUGAUUGCCCAACCGCCACACCGCUCAACUCUGCCAUGAACUACGACGAGGCCUCCAUGGAGAGCAAUAAGAGCCACAAUUGUUUUCACUCCUUAAUAUCCUAGAUCGUUUUUUAUAGUAUGUGUGAAGAUGGAAUAUAUCAGUCCCUAGUCAGGCUGCUUGAAUCAUCUGCUGGGAACAGUCUCUGUUACUCUUUGAUUUUAUUUCAAGACCUGCUAGUGUCGACAACUUUAUCUCCUGUAUGGUUUAUCAGUACAAUUUUUUCCCUUUCAUUAUUAGAGUUAUUUAAAUAUCACAUAGCUAAGAGUAGUGCUCUCGUGCCUAUAUAGUCAUUGAUCUACUGCUCUGAAUGCAAAAGCCAAAAAGAAAUAACUUAACUAGUUAAUUACAAGUAGAAUAAAAAAUCAGCCACUGCAUAAUUGAUUCAGAAAGGUCUAGCGUAUGCAAGCGAUUAAAUAUUCGAAUGCAAAUGGAAGACUUUUUAGU